rnacentral:snRNA from 1 species
GGAUGUGAGGGCCAUCUGUCACCCCAUUGACCACCAGGGUUGAUUCAGCUGAUCUGGCUGGCUAGGUGGGUGUCCCCUUCCUUCCUCACUGUUCCAUGUGCGUCCUUCCCGAAGCUGCGCGCGGUUGAAGAGUACGACCUUCCCCAAUAGAGGCCUACCGUUCUUCGGUCAAGGGUGUACGAGUAGCCGCGCUCCCCUGCUAGAACAAGCUCACAAAGUCCAUUUCAUUGAAGUAGCCUAAAACUAGGAAAUUCAAAGUGGGAAAAUAUUGUUAUACUCAUUCCCCAUGU